rnacentral:rRNA from 1 species
AAAGGAAUUGACGGGGGCCCGCACAAGCGGUGGAGCACGUGGUUUAAUUCGAUGCAAACCGAAGAACCUUACCUGGGUUUGACAUGUUAGUGGUAAAAGUCUGAAAGGAUAAUGACUUAACCGUAAGGUUAAGAGCUAACACAGGUGCUGCAUGGCUGUCGUCAGCUCGUGUCGUGAGAUGUUGGGUCAAGUCCCGCAACGAGCGCAACCCCUGCAUUUAGUUGCUACCAAGUAAAGUUGAGCACUCUAGAUGGACUGCCGCCGAUAAGGUGGAGGAAGGUGGGGACGACGUCAAGUCAUCAUGGCCCUUAUGUCCAGGGCGACACACGUGCUACAAUGGCCGGUACAAAGGGAAGCAAGCCCGAGAGGGUCGAGCGGAUCCCAAAAAAGCCGGUCGCAGUUCGGAUUGAGGUCUGCAACCCGACCUCAUGAAGCUGGAAUCGCUAGUAAUCGCAGAUCAGCCAAGCUGCGGUGAAUACGUUCCCGGGCCUUGUACACACCGCCCGU